CAGCCGCCGCGGUAAUACGGAGGAUCCGAGCGUUAUCCGGAAUUAUUGGGUUUAAAGGGUGCGUAGGCGGAUAGAUAAGUCAGUGGUGAAAGACGGUGGCUCAACCAUCGCAGUGCCGUUGAUACUGUUUAUCUUGAAUAUGGAUGAGGUAGGCGGAAUGUGGCAAGUAGCGGUGAAAUGCAUAGAUAUGCCACAGAACACCGAUUGCGAAGGCAGCUUACUAAGGUAUGAUUGACGCUGAUGCACGAAAGCGUGGGGAGCAAACAGGAUUAGAGACCCCGGUAGUCCCUGUCUCUUAUAC
rnacentral:rRNA from 1 species